rnacentral:rRNA from 1 species
GAUGAACGCUGGCGGCGUGCCUAAUACAUGCAAGUCGAGCGAACGGACGAGAAGCUUGCUUCUCUGAUGUUAGCGGCGGACGGGUGAGUAACACGUGGAUAACCUACCUAUAAGACUGGGAUAACUUCGGGAAACCGGAGCUAAUACCGGAUAAUAUUUUGAACCGCAUGGUUCAAAAGUGAAAGACGGUCUUGCUGUCACUUAUAGAUGGAUCCGCGCUGCAUUAGCUAGUUGGUAAGGUAACGGCUUACCAAGGCAACGAUGCAUAGCCGACCUGAGAGGGUGAUCGGCCACACUGGAACUGAGACACGGUCCAGACUCCUACGGGAGGCAGCAGUAGGGAAUCUUCCGCAAUGGGCGAAAGCCUGACGGAGCAACGCCGCGUGAGUGAUGAAGGUCUUCGGAUCGUAAAACUCUGUUAUUAGGGAAGAACAUAUGUGUAAGUAACUGUGCACAUCUUGACGGUACCUAAUCAGAAAGCCACGGCUAACUACGUGCCAGCAGCCGCGGUAAUACGUAGGUGGCAAGCGUUAUCCGGAAUUAUUGGGCGUAAAGCGCGCGUAGGCGGUUUUUUAAGUCUGAUGUGAAAGCCCACGGCUCAACCGUGGAGGGUCAUUGGAAACUGGAAAACUUGAGUGCAGAAGAGGAAAGUGGAAUUCCAUGUGUAGCGGUGAAAUGCGCAGAGAUAUGGAGGAACACCAGUGGCGAAGGCGACUUUCUGGUCUGUAACUGACGCUGAUGUGCGAAAGCGUGGGGAUUAAACAGGAUUAGAUACCCUGGUAGUCCACGCCGUAAACGAUGAGUGCUAAGUGUUAGGGGGUUUCCGCCCCUUAGUGCUGCAGCUAACGCAUUAAGCACUCCGCCUGGGGAGUACGACCGCAAGGUUGAAACUCAAAGGAAUUGACGGGGACCCGCACAAGCGGUGGAGCAUGUGGUUUAAUUCGAAGCAACGCGAAGAACCUUACCAAAUCUUGACAUCCUUUGACAACUCUAGAGAUAGAGCUUUCCCCUUCGGGGGACAAAGUGACAGGUGGUGCAUGGUUGUCGUCAGCUCGUGUCGUGAGAUGUUGGGUUAAGUCCCGCAACGAGCGCAACCCUUAAGCUUAGUUGCCAUCAUUAAGUUGGGCACUCUAAGUUGACUGCCGGUGACAAACCGGAGGAAGGUGGGGAUGACGUCAAAUCGUCAUGCCCCUUAUGAUUUGGGCUACACACGUGCUACAAUGGACAAUACAAAGGGCAGCGAAACCGUGAGGUCAAGCAAAUCCCAUAAAGUUGUUCUCAGUUCGGAUUGUAAUCUGCAACUCGACUACAUGAAGCUGGAAUCGCUAGUAAUCGUAGAUCAGCAUGCUACGGUGAAUACGUUCCCGGGUCU